CAGUCGCCGCGGGAAUACGGAGGGUGCAAGCGUUAAUCGGAAUUACUGGGCGUAAAGCGCACGCAGGCGGUCUGACAAGUCAGAUGUGAAAUCCCCGGGCUUAACCUGGGAACUGCAUUUGAAACUGUCAGGCUGGAGUCUUGUAGAGGGGGGUGGAAUUCCAGGCGUAGCGGUGAAAUGCGUAGAGAUCUGGAGGAAUACCGGUGGCGAAGGCGGCCCCCUGGACAAAGACUGACGCUCAGGUGCGAAAGCGUGGGGAGCAAACAGGAUUAGAUACCCCUGUAGUCCCUGUCUCUUAUAC
rnacentral:rRNA from 1 species